AAGACUAAUAGACACGGAGGCGAACGGCACAGUCUCUGCUCCGGACCGCGCCAAGAAACAGUGGACGGUCAUCGGCCGGCUGGGCAGGGUCCCCCUAGCGGUGGGCAGCAGACAUGCAGAAGCCAACUUUAUAGUUACUGAAGAAAGAGGCACUGACUUGACGUUCGGACUUGAUAUCUUAAGAAAACUAAAGGCGACAGUUGACUUGGAACAGAACACUUUGGUCCUGGGGGGUGAGCCUGUUCCAUUCCUACAGGGGAGGGAGAUUCCACUCAAGCACCGCUGGGGGACGUCCUCUCCCAUAGGCAUGUAGGCUGCCACCCCCCAAAGCCAUCACAAUGGAACAGUCAUCAAAUUUCUUACAUGUGGAGUACAGCCUGGAGAACUGACUUGAGCCUUUUUCUUCCAACUGCUUGCUUUAAAAUUAUUGAUAUCAAGGAAAAGUAAAGUAAAAAGGAGUCUUAACUUAGGUUUGAAUCGCUGUCCAAGUCCAAUGUUUAUUGUUUCCAGAAUGGCUUUCUUGUGAUGUUGCAAUACAUUGUACUGCUUUUUUAUAUGUAUGUACAGGACUUAGAGACAGUUGUAAAAUUUAAGCUUUGUUCCAACACAACAGAAACACCAUGAAUUUUCAGUUGAUCUUGUUAAAGCUUCAUCAGAUGAGUGAUUCACUGCACUGACUUUCUGGAAUCUGGAAAGACUUAUAGAUGUUAAAUUGCACGUAAGACAAAAAAUGCAGUCACCUUCACUUUCUGUGGAAAUAGUGUUAUAGCUGAUGCUAUGUAAAGCUCUCCUUGUUAUUGCAGACUGAACUUGGACAUGUAGAGUCCCACAUAUAUCAAUCAGACUUGUAAGGAAUACUAAAGAUAUACUCAGAGUAAAUGUAUGUACAUGUAUAGUAUUUUCUAUACUUUGUUGGGUAUGGAUUUAGCUGGUAAGAUAAGAUGGGACUGACAGGUGAACUUAAAAAAAAAAAACCUGUCAAACUUAUGUACUUUGCCAAAA